rnacentral:rRNA from 1 species
GACGAACGCUGGCGGCGUGCUUAACACAUGCAAGUCGAACGGAAAGGCCCAGCUUGCUGGGUGCUCGAGUGGCGAACGGGUGAGUAACACGUGGGUGAUCUGCCUCUAACUUCGGGAUAAGCUUGGGAAACUGGGUCUAAUACCGGAUAGGACAAUCGUUUAGUGUCGGUUGUGGAAAGUUUUUUCGGUUAGGGAUGAGCCCGCGGCCUAUCAGCUUGUUGGUGGGGUAAUGGCCUACCAAGGCGUCGACGGGUAGCCGGCCUGAGAGGGUGGACGGCCACAUUGGGACUGAGAUACGGCCCAGACUCCUACGGGAGGCAGCAGUGGGGAAUAUUGCACAAUGGGCGCAAGCCUGAUGCAGCGACGCCGCGUGGGGGAUGGCGGCCUUCGGGUUGUAAACCUCUUUCGACAGGGACGAAGCUUUGGUGACGGUACCUGUAUAAGAAGCACCGGCUAACUACGUG